rnacentral:rRNA from 1 species
GGUUAAGUGACUAAGCGUACACGGUGGAUGCCUAGGCAGUCAGAGGCGAUGAAGGACGUGCUAAUCUGCGAUAAGCGUCGGUGAGCUGAUAUGAAGCAUUAUUAGCCGGCGAUGUCCGAAUGGGGAAACCCAGUGCAAUCCGUUGCACUAUCGUUAAGUGAAUACAUAGCUUAACGAGGCGAACCAGGGGAACUGAAACAUCUAAGUACCCUGAGGAAAAGAAAUCAACCGAGAUUCCCCUAGUAGCGGCGAGCGAACGGGGAAGAGCCCAGAACCUGAAUCAGUUUGUGCAUUAGUGGAAGCGUCUGGAAAGUCGCGCGAUACAGGGUGAUAGCCCCGUACACGAAGGUGCACAGCUGUGAGUUCGAUGAGUAGGGCGGGACACGUGUUAUCCUGUCUGAAUAUGGGGGGACCAUCCUCCAAGGCUAAAUACUCCUGACUGACCGAUAGUGAACCAGUACCGUGAGGGAAAGGCGAAAAGAACCCCGGCGAGGGGAGUGAAAUAGAACCUGAAACCGUGUACGUACAAGCAGUGGGAGCAUCCUUCGGGGUGUGACUGCGUACCUUUUGUAUAAUGGGUCAGCGACUUAUAUUUUGUAGCAAGGUUAACCGAAUAGGGGAGCCGUAGGGAAACCGAGUCUUAACUGGGCGUCUAGUUGCAAGGUAUAGACCCGAAACCCGGUGAUCUAGCCAUGGGCAGGUUGAAGGUUGGGUAACACUAACUGGAGGACCGAACCGACUAAUGUUGAAAAAUUAGCGGAUGACUUGUGGCUGGGGGUGAAAGGCCAAUCAAACCGGGAGAUAGCUGGUUCUCCCCGAAAGCUAUUUAGGUAGCGCCUCGUGAACUCAUCUUCGGGGGUAGAGCACUGUUUCGGCUAGGGGGUCAUCCCGACUUACCAACCCGAUGCAAACUACGAAUACCGAAGAAUGUUAUCACGGGAGACACACGGCGGGUGCUAACGUCCGUCGUGAAGAGGGAAACAACCCAGACCGCCAGCUAAGGUCCCAAAGUCAUGGUUAAGUGGGAAACGAUGUGGGAAGGCAUAGACAGCCAGGAUGUUGGCUUAGAAGCAGCCAUCAUUUAAAGAAAGCGUAAUAGCUCACUGGUCGAGUCGGCCUGCGCGGAAGAUGUAACGGGGCUAAACCAUGCACCGAAGCUGCGGCAGCGACGCUUAGGCGUUGUUGGGUAGGGGAGCGUUCUGUAAGCCUGCGAAGGUGGCCUGUGAGGGCUGCUGGAGGUAUCAGAAGUGCGAAUGCUGACAUAAGUAACGAUAAAGCGGGUGAAAAGCCCGCUCGCCGGAAGACCAAGGGUUCCUGUCCAACGUUAAUCGGGGCAGGGUAAGUCGACCCCUAAGGCGAGGCUGAAAAGCGUAGUCGAUGGGAAACAGGUUAAUAUUCCUGUACUUGGUGUUAUUGCGAAGGGGGACGGAGAAGGCUAGACCGGCCGGGCGACGGUUGUCCCGGUUUAAGCGUGUAGGUGGGGUGACUUGGCAAAUCCGGUUACCUUUAACACUGAGGCGUGAUGACGAGGCACUACGGUGCUGAAGUGGUUAAUGCCCUGCUUCCAGGAAAAGCCUCUAAGCUCCAGAUAACACUGAAUCGUACCCCAAACCGACACAGGUGGUCAGGUAGAGAAUACCAAGGCGCUUGAGAGAACUCGGGUGAAGGAACUAGGCAAAAUGGUGCCGUAACUUCGGGAGAAGGCACGCUGGCACGUAGGUGAAGUCCCUCGCGGAUGGAGCCGAAGCCAGUCGAAGAUACCAGCUGGCUGCAACUGUUUAAUAAAAACACAGCACUCUGCAAACACGAAAGUGGACGUAUAGGGUGUGACGCCUGCCCGGUGCUGGAAGGUUAAUUGAUGGGGUCAGCCGCAAGGCGAAGCUCUUGAUCGAAGCCCCAGUAAACGGCGGCCGUAACUAUAACGGUCCUAAGGUAGCGAAAUUCCUUGUCGGGUAAGUUCCGACCUGCACGAAUGGCGUAAUGAUGGCCAGGCUGUCUCCACCCGAGACUCAGUGAAAUUGAACUCGCUGUGAAGAUGCAGUGUACCCGCGGCAAGACGGAAAGACCCCGUGAACCUUUACUAUAGCUUGACACUGAACAUUGAACCUUGAUGUGUAGGAUAGGUGGGAGGCUUUGAAGUGUGGACGCCAGUCUGCAUGGAGCCGACCUUGAAAUACCACCCUUUAAUGUUUGAUGUUCUAACCUGGUCCCGUGAUCCGGGAUAGGGACAGUGUCUGGUGGGUAGUUUGACUGGGGCGGUCUCCUCCCAAAGAGUAACGGAGGAGCACGAAGGUUAGCUAAUCCUGGUCGGACAUCAGGAGGUUAGUGCAAAGGCAUAAGCUAGCUUGACUGCGAGAGUGACGGCUCGAGCAGGUGCGAAAGCAGGUCUUAGUGAUCCGGUGGUUCUGAAUGGAAGGGCCAUCGCUCAACGGAUAAAAGGUACUCCGGGGAUAACAGGCUGAUACCGCCCAAGAGUUCAUAUCGACGGCGGUGUUUGGCACCUCGAUGUCGGCUCAUCACAUCCUGGGGCUGAAGUAGGUCCCAAGGGUAUGGCUGUUCGCCAUUUAAAGUGGUACGCGAGCUGGGUUUAGAACGUCGUGAGACAGUUCGGUCCCUAUCUGCCGUGGGCGUUGGAAGAUUGAGAGGGGCUGCUCCUAGUACGAGAGGACCGGAGUGGACGCACCGCUGGUGUUCGGGUUGUGAUGCCAAUUGCAUUGCCCGGUAGCUACGUGCGGAAAAGAUAAGCGCUGAAAGCAUCUAAGCGCGAAACUUGCCUCGAGAUGAGUCUUCCCUUGGACCUUGAGUCCACUAAAGGAACGUUUAAGACUAAGACGUUGAUAGGCUGGGUGUGUAAGCGUAGCGAUACGUUGAGCUAACCAGUACUAAUGAUCCGUGAGACUUAACCUU